rnacentral:rRNA from 1 species
AUUGAACGCUGGCGGCAUGCCUUACACAUGCAAGUCGAACGGCAGCACGGGUGCUUGCACCUGGUGGCGAGUGGCGAACGGGUGAGUAAUACAUCGGAACAUGUCCUGUAGUGGGGGAUAGCCCGGCGAAAGCCGGAUUAAUACCGCAUACGAUCUACGGAUGAAAGCGGGGGACCUUCGGGCCUCGCGCUAUAGGGUUGGCCGAUGGCUGAUUAGCUAGUUGGUGGGGUAAAGGCCUACCAAGGCGACGAUCAGUAGCUGGUCUGAGAGGACGACCAGCCACACUGGGACUGAGACACGGCCCAGACUCCUACGGGAGGCAGCAGUGGGGAAUUUUGGACAAUGGGCGAAAGCCUGAUCCAGCAAUGCCGCGUGUGUGAAGAAGGCCUUCGGGUUGUAAAGCACUUUUGUCCGGAAAGAAAUCCUUGGCCCUAAUACGGUCGGGGGAUGACGGUACCGGAAGAAUAAGAACCGGCUAACUACGUG